rnacentral:lncRNA from 1 species
UUUUCUAAAAAAAAAAAAAAAAAAAAAAAAAACUCUUAAGUUUCACAUUUGCCAGAAUGACACACGAUUAUUACGUCAAAAUUCAGGUAUGGUGGUUUAGACUUGCACCAACUGUUUUAUAUAUUGAUAUUGUCAUCUAUAUUUCUCCCUCCAGGAUGUGAAAGCCAUGUUCAGGUGAAAAACGUGCGGUAUGUAUAAAUAUUCAGCCAAGUUCGACAGACAUAGGGAAAUUAAAUACAUGUAGCAUCAGUUGUGGGGGUCUGUAGACAAUCUGUUUCGAGGCUACAUAGCCGUAGCGUAUCCUCUUUUUCAAAUAUACAUUCAAUUAUGGGCUGGUAAUCCUUAUCCAUCAUAUUAUAGGUCCUUCAAUUUCCUGUUUUGAUUUAAUUUAAUUGCGCUCGACUUGAACACGCUUACAAUACUAAUAUUUUUUAUUUGCAUGUUUUGGUGGGAAGUUAAUGUUACUCUAGAAUCUGUCAGUUAAAUGACCAUUUUUAGAUAACGAUUUGAAUUCUAUGAUAAAGUUUUAAUUUAAGAGCAUACAAUCUAUUGCAGGAUUAUGGCCACUAAUUGGAAUGUUUGUGGUGUUUGUGAAAAUCUUCAGAUUACCAAACCUUCAGUAGUAUGGUGUUCCGAAUGUGACGAAGGACUAUGUGGAGAGUGUAAGAAACAUCAUGCAGUUUCUAAGGGAACAAAAAGCCAUGAAACCGUUUCUAUCGCCGAAUACAAAAACUUACCCACCGAAGUCCUGCAAAUCUCUCAGACCUGCAAACUUCAUAAUGAGAAAUACGAGCUGUUCUGUACAAAACACGAUUGUCCAUGCUGUAAAAAAUGUGUGAAAUCUCACAACGAUUGUAAAGGUUUAACUGACAUUAAUGAACUCAUAAAAAACGUCAAAACUUCAAACGCAUUAAAUGAAAUCGAACAAACCAGUGCAGGAAGUCGUCGAGAAUAUUAAACGACUAAGCACGAACAGGAAUGAAAAUUUAAAAUCUAUAGAAAACAAGAAAAGAGAAAUUGAAGCAGAAAUAAAACAAACCAGGAUACAAGUAAAUCACCACCUUGAUAAACUUCAGGAUGACUUAAUUAAAGAAUUACUGAGAGAGUUGAACAACACGAAAAAAGCAUAAUAGAAAACUUGCUGACUACUCUGAAAAAAAAGGAAAAAGAGAUGACUGAAGUACAAGAAAACUUUGUCACUAUUAAACAACAUGCGUCCGAACUUCAAACAUUUUUAACCAUGAAAGAUAUCGAAAAAUAUAUUGUAGGUGACGAAAAGUGUAUUCAAUCGAUUACUACGAGUGACUCCACACAUCAAGUCAAUAUUUCAUGUCAGAUUAAUAAGUCUUUACAGCAAAUAACAGCCAACGUGCAGAAGUUUGGAGAAAUUAUUGUCAAUGCUGAUCCAUGUGAUUUUUCCGUUCAGAAAAGGAAGGACAGACAAGCCCAGAUUAUGGUAGCUCUUCCAACCAAAAAUAUCGAUAACCUGACUCUGACAUUACAGAAUCGUAUCGAUACAAAGUUGUCAGGUGUCUGUGGCUGUUCACUGCUUCCUGAUUGUAGAAUGGUAUUCUCCUCUUUUAAUGACGAUAAAAUAAGAGUAUUUAAGUCUGACGGAUCAAAAGAUUUCGAAAUAAAGGACAUUGGUAAAACGUAUGAUGUGGUAUUUAUUGGUGAUGAUUCUAUUGCUGUUACAUUCGGCGAGUCAAAAAAGAUUAAUAUAAUCGACUUAAAGACCCACAAACUGAAGAAAUCGAUAAAAGUUGAUUCAUACACUGGUGGAGUAACAUACAAAAAUGGACAUUUAAUAUAUUGUGCCAGAGAAAAAGGAAUACAGAUGCUCAGUUUAAAUAACGGAACCAUUACCAAUGUGAGCAGUACCAAACUCCCACACUACGCGUACGUAACAACAUUCGGUGAAAAACUGAUCUACACAAAUAUGAACAAUAACAGUGUAACCUGCUGUGACUACCAUGGUAACAUACUGUGGAAUUUCUGUGAUACAAGUGCUCUUCCAUUUCCAGUGGGUAUAUCUGUAGACAAUGAUGGUAACGUGUAUGUAGCGGGGUAUUCUACUUACAACGUUGUCGUUAUCUCUCCUGAUGGACAGCGCUGCAGACAAAUUCUCACACGUGAAGAUGAUUUUAGCGAGCCAUGGACUCUGCAUUAUGACACAUCGACCAAUGAAUUGUUAGUUGCUAAUGAAUCCAAUGAAGCAUUUUUGUAUGAUGUUAAAUGAUUAGAAAUGAGGAGUGCUUUUUCCAGAAUUCAAUUUUUUUUUUGUUGAUCUCGAUUACUAACAUCCUUUAAAAGGAAUAAUACUAAUUUUGUGUGAUCUAAUUUAGAUUUGUUUAAAGUUAUUUUUUAGUGUUACUAACUGGCUGCUUCUGUUUCUGUUUUGGCCCCAUCAUAGAUUCGAGUUUAUUUGUAUUGAACCCGAAUCCUGAAGACAGCUUAUCGAGAAUCUAGAGACAAAUAUUAGAG